rnacentral:rRNA from 1 species
CCUACGGGGGGCAGCAGUGAGGAAUAUUGGUCAAUGGGCGGAAGCCUGAACCAGCCAAGUAGCGUGCAGGAUGACGGCCCUACGGGUUGUAAACUGCUUUUAUACGGGAAGAACGCGCCUUAAGUGGAGGGCUUCGCAUGUACCGUAUGAAUAAGGACCGGCUAAUUCCGUGCCAGCAGCCGCGGUAAUACGGAAGGUCCGGGCGUUAUCCGGAUAUAUGGGGGUUAAAGGGGGCGUGGGCCGCAUGUCAAGCGUGCUGUGAAAUGUCCGGGCUCAACCCGGGCCUUGCAGCGCGAACUGGCGUGCUUGAGUCCGCGGAAGGCAGGCGGAAUUCGUCGUGUAGCGGUGAAAUGCUUAGAUAUGACGAAGAACCCCGAUUGCGAAGGCAGCUUGCUGCAGCGGAACUGACGCUGAUGCUCGAAAGCGCGGGUAUCGAACAGGAUUAGAUACCCGUGUAGUC